GUCCAGUUUGUAAAGAGGAAUUCUCUAGAAGACUUGAGAAAAGCUCAGAGAAGGAGAAAGCAGACAGUGUGGAGGUCUUCAGAGCUCUGCUGUGCUGCAUUUAGAGAAUCCAGGUGGAGCUGCUUGAGGUGAUGGAGGAGAAGCAGAAAGCAGCAGAGAGGCAGGCUGAACAGUUCAUUAAAGAGCUGGAGCAGGAAAUCACUGAGCUAAAGAGGAGAGACACUGAGCUGGAGCAGCUCUCCCACACUGAGGACCACCUCCACCUCCUACAGGUUUACCCGUCCCUCUGCAGCCCUCCACCCACCAAGAACUGGACGGACGUCAGGAUUAACACUCAUCUGAGGGUGGAG